UACGUAGGGUGCAGGCGUUUAAUCGGAAUUACUGGGCGUAAAGCGUGCGCAGGCGGUUUCUUAAGUCAGAUGUGAAAGCCCCGGGCUUAACCUGGGAACUGCGUUUGAAACUGGGAGACUUGAGUGUGGCAGGAGGGGGGUGGAAUUCCGACGUGUAGCAGUGGAAAUGCGUAGAUAUGUGGAGGAACACCGAUGGCGAAGGCAGCCCCCUGGGUUAACACUGACGCUCAUGCACGAAAGCGUGGGGAGCAAACAGG
rnacentral:rRNA from 1 species